CAAUAGCGUAUAUUAAAGCUGUUGCGGUUAAAAAGCUCGUAGUUGGAUUUCUGUCAAGGACAACUGGUCCGCCCUCCGGGUGAGCACAUAGUUUGGUCUUGGCAUCUUGCUGGAAACUGUUGCUGCGCUUGGUUGUGUGGUGCAGCUUUCAGCACUUUCACUUUGAGGAAAUUGGAGUGUUUCAAGCAGGCACAUGCCUUUGGACACAGUAGCAUGGAAUAAUUAGAUUGGGCUUUUGCUCCAACUUGUUGGUUCCUGGAGCUGAGGUGAGAAUCAAUGAGGAUUGUUGGGGGCAUCCGAAUUUAGCCGUCAGAGGUGAAAUUCUUGGAUCUGCUAAAGACGGACAACUGCGAAAGCGUUUGCCCAGGAUGUUUUCAUUG
rnacentral:rRNA from 1 species